CGGACGGGUGAAUAAUGUCUGGGAAACUGCCUGAUGGAGGGGGAUAACUACUGGAAACGGUAGCUAAUACCGCAUAACGUCGCAAGACCAAAGAGGGGGACCUUCGGGCCUCUUGCCAUCGGAUGUGCCCAGAUGGGAUUAGCUAGUAGGUGGGGUAACGGCUCACCUAGGCGACGAUCCCUAGCUGGUCUGAGAGGAUGACCAGCCACACUGGAACUGAGACACGGUCCAG
rnacentral:rRNA from 1 species